AGUAACAGGGACCAUAGGGACAGAUAGGGAUAGAUAAAGACUAGCAAAGACUAGCCGAGAUUAGCAAAGACCAGCAAGGACUAGCAGAGACUAGCAAAGACUAGCAGAAACUUGCAGGGACAGGCAGAGACAGAUAGGGACAGAUAGGGUCCUACAGGGACUUGAACGAGGAAGAUCUGCUGGAAAAGAAAAGAACUACAACCAACCAGAUGAACAAGAAACCCUGUUACAAGUCUGCUGGCAGCAACAUAAGGAUGAUGCCCAUUCUAUUUCCUAGGAAGGGAUAAGUUUUAAGGCCUUAUAAAAAGUGACACAAAGUGAACCGGGUUCUAUAAAUUACCAUGGAAAGUGGUGAGCCAACGAUUUGGCAGAACAAAACCCUGAGGAUAUGCAAACAAAAGGGACUAUGGAAUUUGCAAUUGCAGAUUAAAAUUGAAGAAGAAAACAUUUGAGUUGCAAAUACCGUAUUAAAAGUGGACACUGCUUAUGACUGCUGUAUGCAACAGUUUUUCAGGCCCGAGGUGAUAAAUAAAAAAUUGUUUGCUCUAUUUAA